GUGUCAGCAGCCGCGGUAAUACGUAGGUGGCAAGCGUUGUCCGGAUUUAUUGGGUUUAAAGGGUGCGUAGGCGGCUUUGUAAGUCAGUGGUGAAAUAUGGCAGCUCAACUGUCAGGGUGCCAUUGAUACUGCGGAGCUUGAGUACAGAUGAGGUAGGCGGAAUUGACGGUGUAGCGGUGAAAUGCUUAGAUAUCGUCAAGAACACCGAUAGCGAAGGCAGCUUACUGGGCUGUAACUGACGCUGAGGCACGAAAGUGUGGGGAUCAAACAGGAGGAUAUACCAGUGGAUUAC
rnacentral:rRNA from 1 species